GCCUACUCACUGAGAAUAAGUAACCACUUUAGAGACCAGGUAAAAAUGAGUUCUGUGUGUAAUCCGGUAGCUUCACUGCCAUUCACAAAUCCUCUCCCGUGGCCUCAUGGGAUUGUAAAGUGUCCAUGAGAUGCCCACUUCAGAAUCUCGCCGGAAAUAAUAGAUCGCACGCAGGUAAGGACUCGUUCGCAGUGGCCAACUAGAGGAAAUGUCCUCACACGGUUCUCAACAGGCCCAGAAAACCUUCCAUAUAUACAGAAGGCGUAUCUGAGGAGGUGCAGAUCCUGUUAGGUCCCGGAAGACGGGGAGGAAAGGAGGGAGGCGAGGCGCUGCAGCACCAGACAUUCCCUGUCACAGCAGAGCUCUGAGUUAGGGAGGUCUGGUCUGGAAGCCCGCUGACGGAAGUCAGGCCAGGAGAAAUCCACACAGCCUCCUGGGACUAAUAAAUUAGACAGCUGUAUUUUCCCUCAUGGCCUUAACCCUGCAGGCCAACAAACCUUGUGCUGGAAGCUCCAAAUCCCAUAAUUACAAAGCUGACAGUUAACACACAGGUAAGCUACCCUUACUGACUGGCAAAGAAUGCAAACAUCCACUGCACUGGGGUUGAGAGACGGAGAUGGAGGCCAUGCUGCAGGUGUAGAAGUUACUCCUCAAUAUCUCCUGGGGGUUGUGAGGGCAGAAGAUCCUCCCAACACAAAACUGAGAGAUGGAGUUGGUAGAGUAAUCAUGAGAAGUAUGCAUAUAAUAUUUUAUUGAUGAGUUCACUCUUCAAAGCAAAGGUUCUUUAUGCUUCCAUGAAGAAUCUUUAACAUCCAUGGAACACUUUUAAGGUUCCAAAAGGGUGUUUUCACAGUGAUGCCACAGAAGAACCAUUUUUGGUUCC